GACGAACGCUGGCGGCGUGCUUAACACAUGCAAGUCGAACGAUGAAGCCGGAGCUUGCUCUGGUGAAUUAGUGGCGAACGGGUGAGUAACACGUGAGUAACCUGCCCUUGACUCUGGGAUAACUGCUAGAAAUGGUAGCUAAUACCGGAUACGACCCUCGGAGGCAUCUUCAGGGGGUGGAAAGAAUUUCGGUCAAGGAUGGACUCGCGGCCUAUCAGCUAGUUGGUGAGGUAACGGCUCACCAAGGCGACGACGGGUAGCCGGCCUGAGAGGGUGACCGGCCACACUGGGACUGAGACACGGCCCAGACUCCUACGGGAGGCAGCAGUGGGGAAUAUUGCACAAUGGGCGCAAGCCUGAUGCAGCAACGCCGCGUGAGGGAUGACGGCCUUCGGGUUGUAAACCUCUUUUAGUAGGGAAGAGGCGAAAGUGACGGUACCUGCAGAAAAAGCACCGGCUAACUACGUGCCAGCCGCCGCAGUAA
rnacentral:rRNA from 1 species